CCUACGGGUGACAGCAGUGGGGGAUAUUGCACAAUGGGGGGAACCCUGAUGCAGCGACGCCGCGUGGGUGAAGGAGCGUUUCGGCGCGUAAAGCCCUAUCGGCAGGGACGAAGAUGACGGUACCUGGCCAAGAAGCCCCGGCUAACUACGUACCAGCAGCCGCGGUAAUACGUAGGGGGCAAGCGUUAUCCGGAUUUACUGGGUGUAAAGGGGGCGCAGACGGCAAUGCAAGCCAGGAGUGAAAGCCCGGGGCCCAACCCCGGGACUGCUCUUGGAACUGCAUGGCUGGAGUACAGGAGGGGCAGGCGGAAUUGCUAGUGUAGCGGUGAAAUGCGUAGAUAUUAGGAGGAACACCGGUGGCGAAGGCGGCCUGCUGGACUGUGACUGACGUUGAGGCCCGAAGGCGUGGGGAGCAAACAGGAUUAGAUACCCCAGUAGUC
rnacentral:rRNA from 1 species